GACGGCCACAUCACGUUAAAAUACCGGUUCCCGUACUAUCACCGAAGUUAAGCAACAUCGAGCCUGAUCAGUAGCUAGAUGGGUGACCGCUUGGAAACACUAGGUGCUGUAAG